CCUACGGGUGGCAGCAGUGAGGAAUAUUGGUCAAUGGACGCAAGUCUGAACCAGCCAUGCCGCGUGCAGGAUGACGGCUCUAUGAGUUGUAAACUGCUUUUGUACGAGGGUAAAACCCGAUACGUGUAUCGGGGUGAAUGUAUCGUACGAAUAAGGAUCGGCUAACUCCGUGCCAGCAGCCGAGGGAAUACGGAGGAUCCGAGCGUUAUCCGGAUUUAUUGGGGUUAAAGGGGGGGUAGGUGGGUUUGUAAGUUAGAGGGGAAAUGUCGGGGCUUAACCCCGAAACUUCCUCUAAUACUGUUGAACUAGAAGAUGGUUGCGGUAGGCGGAAUGUAGGGUGUAGCGGUGAAAUGCUUA
rnacentral:rRNA from 1 species